AUAUCAGUAGCCUGGCAGUUGAGUUGAGUUGUUGAUUGUUUGAACACACAACGAUAUCGUCGAAGCACAGUUGCAGUUACUAGUAGAGCUGAUGGAAUAUCAGCUGGCUAUAGUUCGAGGAUUUUUCGAGGAUAAUAAGUAGGAGUUGAGUCAAUUUUGGGGGAAGAACAAGAACAAAAUAUUGCGGAACCGCCUUGGGGAAUGGAAGAAGGUGUGGGCUGAUCAAAGGAAAUACGACAGAAAGCACGACAGAUAAUGCAGAUCGUAAAUUAUCCACUCCCGAAGCGAUGAAAGAGUCGGUGGAACGAUUGCCUGCGAAGAUGUUUGGAUUGUAGAAGCAAGAGAUCUUGCCAAACGACGUGGAUAUUUGCCCUGGUAAAGAAUUUAUCCACAUUGAAGAAGAAUUCGUAGCCAACAUAUAUAGUACCAUUGUUUCCAUAAUUUUAAUUUAAAUUUUGUAUUCAAUGAAAAUUGUUUUAUUUCAGCAAAUUAUCAAAUUUCAGUAAUACACAAUAAUACUAAGCAGCUGAUUUCAAAAGAGAAAAAAUCCUGCUUCCAAAAAAUCAUUCUCCCUGUGAAUUUGGGGUUUUCAAAAUCCGCAUGGGAGAAUUUCCUCGAGAAUAUUUAAAACUGGGCAGAUAAUUUCCAAUAAUUCUUUUCAAUGUUCCAAUCUUAGAGUUGUUAUUAAUGAAAAACAUAGCUGUAGAGAAAGUAUUUCUGUCAGAUUUAUGCCCCUUAUUCCUUUUCCAUCUGAAAAAAUGGGCGUAAAGCAAUGCAUUUGGUAUGAAGAUAUUCAUAUAUUUAUUGAGGUGUCUGAAUGAGGGGCAAAUACCAAAAUUAGAAUUAUUCUUUGAAGUUAGCUACAAAUCUAAGCAUCGUAGCGCAGCGUGAAUUUCAAGCAACUGAUUCUCAGUUUGGCGUUCAGUGCAUUCACAUUCGUUUCAUGAGAGAAUUGUAUAAGAGGAUUUUGUAAUCCAAGCAUGUAUCUGAAUUAAAUUUAAGUUGUUGUUUUUGGAAGACUUGUCUUUUCUAGUGUUAGAAAAGUUCCUGGCUAUAGAGUGCUUGUAAAUUUCCUACAUAAAGGGUAUUUUUUUUUUAGAUAUUAUCUUCUUGGUAACACUAGUUUAAACACAGUUGUCGUACGUUUCGUGUUUUGUAUCACUGUCAAACAUCUUCAGUUUGGUCUAUAAUUUAACCACGAAUCGUCUUCCAAACGAACAGCGCUUGCAAAAAUUCAUCGCGC